rnacentral:tRNA from 1 species
ACAUUGGUGGUUCAGUGGUAGAAUUCUCACUUUUCAUGCAGAAGACCCGGAUUCGAUUCCUGGACAAUGUA